rnacentral:lncRNA from 1 species
GGCGUCCCCUGAACUCAUCUAACUAGACCUACCAUCACUUUGUCUAACUUAAGAUAACAAUAUGGCUCUUUAAUGAUCCAAUAUUAUCAUAUGGGUCUCUAAUAGCCCAACAGCUAAUAACGGGUCUUUGGUAGCCUGAAGUGCUAACAGUGGGUCUCUAGUGACCUGAAAUGCAGACAGUGGGUCUCUAGUGGUCCAAGGUUGUAUACCGACAAUCCGAAUCGGGGGUCUAGCUAGAGAGGCACGUGUUACUAGAUCAUCUAUUAAUCGUCUAGACUUAGAGUAUAUCUCUUCUUAUUCACUAGCUAUCUAGUCACAUCAUAUUCAAGUUUAAUCAUGUAGGCACAUAACAUGAGCAUCAUAAUAAAAUAAAUGACAUAAACAUAAAUGAACUUAACAUAACAUAAGCUAACUAUACUUAAUUGACGAGCCGACAUCUCAAAAUUAUAUCCGAAAUGAUUCCUCUUACUGCCACGAAACCAUAGCUUCUAACGGUGCGUCGUUUGGAGGUCAAACAGUUAAGUUAUACUCCAAAUACUCUUUUUGCAAUUUGAAGAAACACUCAGGGGCAGAACUGACAUUACUCGGCACAGCUUGGCAAAAUACAAAACCAGUCCUUUUGCUUCAGGUUAUUGGAAAACAAUUCCUGAACAACAACUAUUAGCAGAUCAGCCACCCAACUUCUACAAAGCACAAUCUAGUCCAUAUACCAAUAGAAUUUACAUGCGACCACUUAUCUUUUCCAAGAGUUGCGGGGAGAUCAUCAUCUUCUCCGGCGAAAAGCUCACCGCGGGCGACCAAUUUCCAAAAUCCGGCGAUCUCUCCAAAAAUCCUGAAAGCACGCCACUUGCCACCGAUCGCCUCCUCUUCCUUCCUCUGAGCCCACUGCCGAUUCAAGCCACCAAGCCGCCACCGAGUCUCCCCCAGUCAUCGAUUUCCAUCCUCCGCCGGUGCUUCCAUCCUUUGAAAUCACCUUGCGAAAAAGAGGGAAGAGGCGAGCAACUCCUUUCUUUGGAUUGAUCCGAGCUUCGCCGCUUUCAUCUCCCUUACCGAGAUACGACUCCAAGUUGCCGCCACCGCCACCAUGGAAGUGCUCCCUCUCGUCUCU